UACGUAGGGUGCGAGCGUUGUCCGGAAUUAUUGGGCGUAAAGAGCGUGUAGGCGGCUUGGUAGGUCUUGCGUCAAAACCUGAGGCUCAACCUCAGUUCGCGUGGGAAACCAUCUAGCUAGAGUCCGGAAGAGGAGAACGGAAUUCCCAGUGUAGAGGUGAAAUUCGUAGAUAUUGGGAAGAACACCGGUGGCGAAGGCGGCGACCUGGUCCUUGACUGACGCUGAGGCGCGAAAGCGUGGGGAGCAAACAGG
rnacentral:rRNA from 1 species